rnacentral:rRNA from 1 species
UACGUAGGGUGCGAGCGUUAAUCGGAAUUACUGGGCGUAAAGCGUGCGCAGGCGGUUCGUUGUGUCGGUGGUGAAAUCCCCGGGCUUAACCUGGGAAUGGCCAUGGAAACUGGCGAACUGGAGUGCGGCAGAGGGGGGUGGAAUUCCGCGUGUAGCAGUGAAAUGCGUAGAUAUGCGGAGGAACACCCGAUGGCGAAGGCAAUCCCCCUGGGCCUGCACUGACGCUCAUGCACGAAAGCGUGGGAGCAAACAGG